rnacentral:rRNA from 1 species
GUGGAUUAGAUACCCUGGUAGUCCACGCCGUAAACGAUGUCUACUAGCCGUUGGGAGACUUGAUUUCUUAGUGGCGCAGCUAACGCAAUAAGUAGACCGCCUGGGGAGUACGGCCGCAAGGUUAAAACUCAAAUGAAUUGACGGGGGCCCGCACAAGCGGUGGAGCAUGUGGUUUAAUUCGAUGCAACGCGAAGAACCUUACCAGGUCUUGACAUCCAGAGAACUUUCCAGAGAUGGAUUGGUGCCUUCGGGAGCUCUGAGACAGGUGCUGCAUGGCCGUCGCCAACU